GAGAAAAGACUGAGACACAUCACGUACGUUCCUAAAAUGUUCAAAUUGAAGUCGAAGGUCUACUCUGUGGAUUCACGGAUAUGACUCAAGUCGCGAUUUCUAUUUACCUUAAGUACAUUUUAAUUCUUAUAAAAGUAACUUGGAGAAUGAGAAAGUACUUUUCUUCAUAUUUUGGAAAAACAGUUAAGAACAGGAUGUGCUUUAAAGAGAUUCACAUUCAUUUCUGUUUUCUAAGUAAUUUCGCCGUAUUAACGACAAGUUUUGCGUUCAAGAGUCACGCAAGGCUUUGUUUCUUUCUGCGAACAUAAAAAAAAAGAAAGAAGAAGAAAAAUGAAGGAA